rnacentral:ncRNA from 1 species
AUUAUCAUUCUAAAUUUGACUCUAGUUUUUAUUAGCUCAUUAUUAUGAUAAAUUUUAAUAUGUAAAUUUAAGUGAGUAAUUAUGAUUACUUAAAUAGUGAUCAAUAAGUUUUUAUGCGCAGUUUAUAAUUUUAUAUAUCUAGUAAAUUAGGAUAUAGUUAAUUAUUAUAUUAUAUAACUAGCAAAGGUUGUGCCAGCAGCUGCGGUUACACAAUCUAGUUAUAGUGAUCUUUAUUAGAAUUUUAUUUAUUAUUUUUGUUGGCUUUAAUUUUACAUUUUUUAGGUGAAAUUUAAAAUGUAUUUUUAUGGUUGGGUAAUUUUAGAUUAUAAGAAACUUAUAUUUUAAACUAGGAUUAGAUACCCUAUUAUUUUAAGUGUAAAUUUAAAUUCUUAGUACUAUAAGCUUUGAUCUUUAAAUUGAAAGAGUUUGACGGUAAUUUUAAUCAUUUUAGAGGAACCUGUUCUAUAAUUGAUAAUCCACGAUAAAUUUUACCUUAAUAAUUUGUUUGUAUAUCUCUGUCUGAUGAGUGUUCUAGAAGGAAAUUCUCUUUAAUUUUUUAGAAAAUUAUGUCAGGUCAAGGUGCAGCUUUUUGAGGUGUGAAAUGGGUUACAUUUAAUUGUAUUAUUGGAUUUAAAAUAUGUAUUUUAUUUUAUGAAAUUGGAUUUAAUUGUAAUAAGUAUUAUAUUUUAUUUAUGAUAUAUGUUCUUGAUUAAGUACACAUCGCCCGUCGCUCUCAUUAUAAGAUGAGAUAAGUCGUAACAAAGUAGUUUUACCGGAAGGUGAAGCUGGAAUUAUA